GCCCAGGGGUGGGGCCCAAACCGAGGGGGAGGUUACAGAAGUAAUUACAGGGGUGGCGCUGGUCGGAGAGGAUCAUACGGUGGGGGAGGAGAAAGAGGCGGCUACCAAGGGAGAGACGCUUGUUUCAACUGUGGUAUGGAGGGGCACUGGCGCAUGGAGUGUCCUAGCAAAAAGAAGAGACAGGGGAGGGGCAGGGGUGUCCCGUCUCAGGGGGCUUGGGCCCCCAAUCCACAUGCUGCGCCACCUAGGGGACAAUACCCUGCACUGGAGGACUGGGGCUAUGAGGCGGAUGCCUCUCAGUGACACACCCCGAUGGGAGACUCCGACAGCAGGGGCAGGGCAGACCCCAUGCUGUCACUCACGGUACUGCAACAACAACUUCCGUUUCUCGUUGACACUGGGGCCACAUACUCCCCCAUACAAGCAGCGGGCUCGUCUGCUAUGUCCAAAGACAGUGUCAGCGUUAUGGGAUUCUCCGGGGUGUCACAGAAACUGCCUAUAACAGUCCCCCUACCGGUGAAAGUGGGAAAUCAGACAUUGACUCACUCUUUUGUUGUCUCACCUCAAGUUCCAGUGAAUCUUAUGGGAAGGGAUCUUCUCAUCAAAACAGGGGCUUCAAUCUUGUGCGGCCCGGACGGACUGAGUGUCACAUUGCUGGAUGGAACUGUGUUGCAUUGCAAUGACAAUGGACAGACUAAUGGCCAGUGGGUGAUGCAGCCACUGCAACAACAACAGUGCGCAGACAUUUACUGGGGCCUCCUAAAGCCUGAGUGUCCUGACAUCCCAGGGGUGAUGGCUCUUUACCAAAAGUGGAAGCCUUGGAUAACUCUUCUUGAUCCGUAUGUUUCUCCUCCUGACCCGCCUCAUGUAACAUUGUUCUAUGAUAGACAAGGGGAUGAUUGCUACUGGGAUGAAUUUAUGGGGCACUUAGAGAGCACUGAGUGGGAGGUGACGUCCCAAAACCUCUAUGUGGGCCCAGAAGGGGUAGCCGCAGCUGUUGUCCUCUCUCCUGAUCAAUUGAAAUGGUAUUUAAUGAGCCAAGAGGCGGUGCCACAUGUAUCGCUGGCUCUGCAUCCCAAACAUCAGGCUAAAGACUUGGGUCCAAUGACUAAACGAGCAGUGCUGCUAGAUGACUGGGUGUGCACUCAACUGCCUGAUGUUUGUUUUUCUCCUUCCGCUAAGAUGUACAGAAUUUCAGGGAAAGCGACUAACACUGUCAUUUUAACGCACGAACAGGUGUCCAGAGACCACGGAAGGGAGAAGACCGACCAUCCCCACACAGCUAUCCUUCUUGAGAAACUUCCAGACUACCUCUGGUCCGAAGGCCCGACGGACGUAGGUUUUUGUAACACAUGUAAACCAGUAACGUUUGAAAUUCAAAAGCGACCCCCCAUUUGGCAGUCCCAAUACCCUCACAAGCCAGCCGCGGCAGAGGGGAUCAGGGACACUAUAGAGGGACUCAUUAAGUCAGGAGUACUGGAGCCCUCUCAGUCCGCCUGGAACACGCCCAUUCUUCCGGUAGAAAAGGCAGCAACUGGUAAAUAUCGCAUGGCACAUGAUCUCAGAAAGAUAAACGACAUGCUGGUAACGACAACGGUACCCGUCCCGAACCCAUACACUGCGUUGACUAGUCUAACACCACAACAACAAUGGUUCACGUGCAUUGAUUUGGCAAACGCGUUCUUUUGCAUACCCCUACAGGAAAACUUGCGGGAUGUAUUCUCAUUCACAUAUGGGAACAAGCAACUACGUUAUACUCGGCUACCGCAAGGAUUUGCUCUUUCACCUGGUAUUUUCAAUCAAGUGUUAAAACAAGCAUUGACAGGUUGUCCGCUCCCAGAGGGCACGACGCUGAUCCAAUACGUCGACGAUAUCCUCCUCGCAUCCACUUCAGCUGAAUCCUGUGUGGAAGCAACAGACACCAUCUUACGCUGGUUGGCCACGACCGGUUUCAAGGUCAGUAAGUCAAAGUUGCAGGUCGCCAGGCGGCAGGUUUCGUUUCUGGGGAGAGUGCUGUCAGGAAGCGGCUCAGGGCUCUCAGCCGCGCACAGGUCCAGUAUUCUCCACCAUUCGCGUCCACAGAAUGUAAAGGAAAUGCUUUCCUUCCUAGGACUCACGGGGUUCAGCAGACAAUUCAUUCCGCGUUAUUCAAAUCUCACUCAGAUUCUACGUGCAAAGGUAAACGAGAAGGGGAUGAGGAACCUCACUGCUAAACUCGAAUGGGACCAAGAGGCGGAGGAGGCAUUUAUUACACUAAAAACAGAGCUGGCGCAGGCCGCAGACCUUGCAGUUCCAGAUUACAGCGCGCCGUUUUACCUGGACGUUUCUGAAACAACAGGGGUAGUAAAUGGGGUUUUGUUUCAGAAAAAGGGGGAGGGUAAAAGGAAGGUGCUUCUGUAUAUCAGUGCCGUGAUGAACAACAUGGAAAAACGACACCAUGAAUGCACACAACACGCAGCAGGGGUUGCAAAGCUAUUAAUGAAAACAGCACACAUAGUCAUGGGCCACCCACUACACGUGCUAACAACACACAGCAUAGUAGCUUAUGUAAACUCACAAACUUUCACGAUGACGUCACUAAGACAAAGAAGGCUGAGCAAGCUGUUAGAAGCUCCAAACCUCACCUUCACACAUGAAGGCAUCAACAUGGCUGAUCACAUGAGAGAGGGGAAACCACACCAAUGUGAGUACAAGGUGGAGCUGGAAGCAAAAGCACGAACCGACUUAAAAAGCACACCACUGACACACUUUGAUUGGCAAUUGUUCACUGAUGGCAGCUGCUUCAGACAUCCACAACAUGGGUUGCAGUCCGGAUACGCGGUAGUCAGAAGUAAUGGGGCAGGAACAGAGGUUCUGGAAGCGGGAAGAAUUCAGGGUCAACAGUCAGCACAGAGAGCGGAGGUACUCGCGCUGAUAAGAGCGCUACAGCUGGCAGAAGGGAAGGCAGUAAACAUCUAUACUGACUCGGCUUAUGCGGUAGGAGCAGCUCACGUGGAGCUGGGGCAGUGGUUAAGAGCAGGUUUUCUGACGGCUGGAGGAAAACCGAUUAAACACGAACCAGAAAUGAAAGACUUGGCGGCAGCCUUGGCUCUACCAAGCACAGUGGCCAUUAUAAAGUGUAAAGGACACGAGCAGUCCAACAGCACGGUGGCAAAGGGAAACCAGGCAGCAGAUCAAGCUGCAAAACAGGCUGCAGGUUACCAAAUGGGGCUCCAAAUGGUAAGUGCAGAAGAAGAGGGACAGUUGGGGCCACAACUUAAUGAGGAGCAAAUUGCAGAAGCCCAAAAGGGGGCGUCUCCACAGGAGAAAACGGUGUGGAAACAAAGAGGGGCUACGGAGGCUGGAGGCCUCUGGAGGUCCCCGGACGGUCGUCCAGUGCUACCACCUGAAAUCAGAAACAGGUGUUUGCAGGAGGCACACGGGAUGGCACAUGUGGGACACAAACAGAUGAAUAGGAAUCUUUGUCACUGGUGGCAUCCGUUUUUGGCAGACAUGACACGUGAAUAUGUUAAGACCUGUAAAAUAUGCAUCACGUUUAACCCAAAACCGAUGGUGAAGCCGGAGAUGGGGGUGUUUCCGUUGACAUUGGUCCCGGGACGGGAAAUAGUCAUCGACUACACUGACAUGAUCACCCGAUGCGAAGGUAAAAGGUAUCUCCUGGUAUGCGUGGACGCCUUGACCGGCUGGCCAGAGGCGUGGCCCACAAAAAAAGAGGACAGUAAAUCUGUUAUCAAAUGUUUGAUAAACCAUUACAUACCAAGACAUGGGUUCCCUGAGAAAGUCAGGUCUGACAACGGCACACACUUCAAAAAUCAUGACCUACAAGAAGUGGAGAGAAUGUUGGGUCUGAAACAUGCUUUUGGUACAGUAUAUCACCCCCAAUCCCAAGGGAAAGUAGAACGCAUGAACCAAAACUUAAAACAAAAAUUGGCUAAAAUCUGUGCACAGACAAAUUUAACCUGGGUUCAAGCCCUCCCACUUGCAUUAAUGGCCAUCAGAAGCUCAGUCAAUCAGGGUACAGGUUUCACCCCAUACGAGCUGACCACUGGAAGACAGUUUCCCGGACCAAGCGCAGGCUUGAAGCUCCAGCCUGACCCGGAGACACCAACAGGUGAGUAUGCAAGUCAUUAUAACGAACUACGAGCUCUCGUUUCAGAUUUUGCGGUCCAGGUGCAAGACAGAACCGGAGGGCAGAACACCCCUGAUCCCCACACAACAGCCUGGGUCCUCCUGAGGGUCAUUAAGAGGAAGUGGUCGGAGCCACGGUGGACAGGACCAUACCAGGUGGAGGAGAGAACCUCACACGCUGUGAGGCUGAGAGGGAAAGGGGACACCUGGUACCACUGGAGCCAGUGCGCCCCCGCGGACGAACCGGGUCGCACUCUUCAGGACAUCCUGACAACGCAGCAGAAAGAGACGGAACUGGGCACUGGAUAGUGCCCGGACGUGCUCUCGGCGGGCAGUGACCGACAGACACCCAGUGCAUGGUGUUCUGUGUUGACUGUCUACAACGAAAGAAGAAGACCAGCGACGAAGAAAUGCACAAUGCUAUCCUCUCCUCUCCUCUGUUCUAUCUUUCUCAAUUCUCCGCAGUUAGUUUAGUUGAAAUAGAGAAUGUUGAGCACGCUUAAUAUUUCCAUAAUUGCUAUGGGGGGGGUAACGGUUGUUAUUGCAUUAGCUCUUAUAUACUUAGCUGUCACAGGUUCCACCUUGUUUGUUUGAGUGUUAUUACAGUGUUGAUACUAUAUAGCUUGGGUUGUUUUUGGGUAUAUCUUUCUGUGAGUUGUUUGUGUAAUCUAGUGGAAAGGAAGCGAGCCACAGUAAGCGACAGAACCAACACUUGGGGGUCCCUUCUCAAAGUCAGACACGAAAAGACAGGGCGUGGUGUAAGGUAAGAGGACUUAGAGGAGGAGGUCGACCCGGCAGACUUACUCCAUUAGUUAGGGUGAUCUCUGUAAGAGAUCAAAAGGGGGAAAUUGUGGGAUGUGGGGUUCUCUGUGUGUGUCUUCUUGUAUUUACUUUUUAGCUUGUAGAAUAGAUGUCCGCUUGUAGGACAGAUGGCGUGACCGGAUCGGUCCUUAUAAGGCAGACAAUGUGAAUGGUGGAAAAGAGAGCACAGGAAAAAUGAAGAUAAAAUAUUAUCUGAGAUAACACACCUGCGACCGAAGGGAGAGCCAGUUUGAACCCAUUUUCAGGGCAAGGCCGAAGGCUGCAGGAGAGAGUACCAGACACUCAUUGUUCGGGGAAGGCGUUUGUUACAGAAGGAUGAACUGGGUUGAACCAACGUUCAAGGGCACCAGAGGGAUUAAAACAGGUCAGUGCCAGAAGGCAGGCGGACUUUGGAUGGGAUUUGCUUGCGAUACGUAUUUCAUUGUCUCCAGAUAUAUCUGCGGAGAAUUGCUCAUGUACAACUUUUUCUCUUCUAAAUAAAUGUUAAACUUUUUAACUAAUUUCCUGCAGUGGAUUCU